GACAGCCAGGAGGUUGGCUUAGAAGCAGCCACCCUUUAAAGAAAGCGUAAUAGCUCACUGGUCGAGUCGGUCUGCGCGGAAGAUUUAACGGGGCUAAGUGAUAAACCGAAGCUUGGGGUGCACAAACCUGUUUGUGCGCGGUAGAGGAGCGUUCCGUACGCCUGCGAAGGUGGAUUGAGAAGUCCGCUGGAGGUAUCGGAAGUGCGAAUGCUGACAUGAGUAACGAUAAUGCGGGUGAAAAGCCCGCACGCCGAA
rnacentral:rRNA from 1 species